rnacentral:rRNA from 1 species
UACGGGGGGGGCAAGCGUUGUUCGGAAUUACUGGGCGUAAAGGGCGCGUAGGCGGCCAACUAAGGCGGACGUGAAAUCCCUCAGCUUAACUGGGGAACUGCGUCCGAUACUGGAUGGCUUGGAUUCGGGAGAGGAAUGCGGAAUUCCAGGUGUAGCGGUGAAAUGCGUAGAUAUCUGGAGGAACACCGGUGGCGAAGGCGGCAUUCUGGACCGACAUUGACGCUGAGGAGCGAAAGCCAGGGGAGCAAACGGG